rnacentral:rRNA from 1 species
GACGAACGCUGGCGGCGUGCUUAACACAUGCAAGUCGAACGAAGAGCGAUGGACGCUUGCUUCUAUCAAUCUUAGUGGCGCACGGGUGAGUAACGCGUAAUCAACCUGCCCUUCAGGGGGGGACAACAGUUGGAAACGACUGCUAAUACCGCAUACGAUCUGACCUCGGCAUCGAGGAUAGAUGAAAGGUGGCCUCUACAUGUAAGCUAUCACUGAAGGAGGGGAUUGCGUCUGAUUAGCUAGUUGGAGGGGUAACGGCCCACCAAGGCGAUGAUCAGUAGCCGGUCUGAGAGGAUGAACGGCCACAUUGGGACUGAGACACGGCCCAGACUCCUACGGGAGGCAGCAGUGGGGAAUCUUCCGCAAUGGACGAAAGUCUGACGGAGCAACGCCGCGUGAGUGAUGACGGCCUUCGGGUUGUAAAGCUCUGUUAAUCGGGACGAAAGGCCUUUUUGCGAAUAGUGAGAAGGAUUGACGGUACCGGAAUAGAAAGCCACGGCUAACUACGUG